GAUGAACGCUAGCGGCAGGCUUAAUACAUGCAAGUCGAGUUGCAGCAUGAAGUAGCUGUCCUUUGAUUGCGACCGGCGAACGGGUGCUGAACACGUACACAACCUUCCUUUAGGUGGGGAAUACCCCUGAGAAAUUUGGUGUAAUACCGCGUAACACGACUAAUUAGCAUUAUUUGGUUUGUAUGGGUUCUUCGCUUAAUGUUAGGUGUUCGUAGGAGUAGAUGGUUGGCGAGGUAACGGCGCAGCAAGGCUACGAUCAUCAGCUGAUGUGAGAGCAUGAUCAGCCACACGGGCACUGAGACACGGGCCCGACUCCUAAGGGAGGUAGCAGCAAGGAAUAGUAGUCAAUGGGAGCAAGUCUGAACCAGCCAUGCCGCGUGAAGGAUUAAGGUCCUCUGGAUUGUAAACUUCUUUUAUAUGGGACGAAAAAAGGUCUUUAUAGACACCUUGACGGUACCAUAUGAAUAAGCAACGGCUAAAUCCGUG
rnacentral:rRNA from 1 species